UACGAAGGGGGCUAGCGUUGCUCGGAAUUACUGGGCGUAAAGCGCACGUAGGCGGCUCGUUAAGUCGGAGGUGAAAUCCUGGAGCUCAACUCCAGAACUGCCUUCGAUACUGAUGAGCUCGAGUUCGGGAGAGGUGAGUGGAACUGCGAGUGUAGAGGUGAAAUUCGUAGAUAUUCGCAAGAACACCAGUGGCGAAGGCGGCUCACUGGCCCGAUACUGACGCUGAGGCACGAAAGCCAGGGGAGCAAACGGG
rnacentral:rRNA from 1 species